CACGAAAAAGCCAAACUUCGGGUAACCGAAGGACGGAAAGCUUCGGGUCCACACGUUUGUGGAUAGCCGGGCCGCCUGGA
rnacentral:ncRNA from 1 species